UACGUAGGGUGCGAGCGUUGUCCGGAAUUAUUGGGCGUAAAGAGCGUGUAGGCGGUUUGGUAGGUCCGCUGUGAAAACUCGAGGCUCAACCUCGAGACGCCGGUGGAAACCAUCAGACUAGAGUCCGGAAGAGGAGAGUGGAAUUCCUGGUGUAGCGGUGAAAUGCGCAGAUAUCAGGAAGAACACCCGUGGCUAAGGCGGCUCUCUAGUACGGUACUGACGCUGAGACGCGAAAGCGUGGGGAGCAAACAGG
rnacentral:rRNA from 1 species